AUAUUUACCUGGCAGGGGAGAUACCAGGAUCACGAAGGUGGUUUUCCCAGGGAGUGGCUUGUCCAUUGCACUCCAGAUGUGCUGACCCCUGCGAUUUCCCCAAAUGUGGGAAACUCGACUGCAUACUUUGUGGUAGUGGGGGACUGCGUUCACGCUAUCCCCUG
rnacentral:snRNA from 1 species